UAUGUAUUUGCAUGGUUCAGCAAAAUCAUCUAUCGGUGGCUGGUUGUCUUUGUUCAACUCUUUACAUGUGACCUUUAGUACUUGCUUUGAUUCAACAAAGAAGAAUCAGUGGUACAAGGAGCAUAUGCAGUGCAGAGAAGGUUGCUGAAGUGUGGGUACUGAUAUGUAUUUGGAUGGUUCACCAAAAUCAUCUAUCUGUGGCUGGUUGUAUUUGUUCAACUCUUUAUGAGUGGCCAUUCAGUACUUGCUUUGAUUCAGCAAAGAAGAAUCAGUGUUAGUUGGUUUUGCUUGCUAGUAGGACCAGGCGGCGGUGCCGAUGAGCAAUGACGAGCCAGUGUUCCGACCUGGAGAUGGGCAGGCCGGUCUGCAGCUUCACCGACCUCAGUUAGUUGGGCCCCUUGGCUUGUGGUGUUAACUGUCACGUUGAAGUUUGUGGUUCAGCCUUUGGCUGACAUGUCCUGGGCGACUCCUCGGUCGGAGAUGCAGACAUGCGUGCGUGCUUUUGAUGGGAAGGUACUAGUACUAGAUGGUCUGCAUGCUUUUCACGGCAAGGACUGAUCCAGGUUAACUCUGUGUGAUGCAGUAUUGGAGUAUAGAAUGGUCCAAAAGAUGGUAAUGUAUACCUUGAAGGACCAAGUGUGUGAUGUUGCAUGAGUGGAAUAUUAUCUACACCUGGAGAUGAUGCAUGGUGAAUCUGAUGUUUCACUAUUCAUCUCUAAUAUGAUUCCUGAACUCAUGAGUCCAGCUCCCACCGCUAGUCGAGUUUCUACUCUAGCAUGUGAAUAGACAACCAUAUGACCUUGGAUUGUGUAUAUGCUGCGAUGGCUGGUUGGGAAGGAGGUGGGUGGAGGAGAAGAUAGGAUGGGAAGUUGGUUCGGAGGAGCAGCAACAACUUGAGGACUCAUGGUCCUUGCUUCCAACAAAAGGAGCAACGGCAGCUUCAGGACUCGGUGGCACUUGAUACUGCGGCAGCGAGUACUUCUGCCUCUUUCUGGCUAUCGUGCAUGCGGAAUUUUUUGUUGUGAUCUUGUUGUGCAGCCUUGAGUUGUAGUCAUGCCUGUAACCAACUUGAUCAUCUCCGUAAAAGUAGUGAUGAGAAGGGAGCUUCCCUGAUAUUGUUAUUAGGAGCCGAUCGUGACAUUCUUUUCUUUUUCAUGAUUGACAAGAACUAUCAAGAUAUA